AUUGAACGCUGGCGGCAGGCCUAACACAUGCAAGUCGAACGAGUGGCGGACGGGUGAGUAAUGUCUGGGAAACUGCCUGAUGGAGGGGGAUAACUACUGGAAACGGUAGCUAAUACCGCAUACCAACGGAUGUGCCCAGAUGGGAUUAGCUAGUAGGUGGGGUACAGGCUCACCUAGGUGACGAUCCCUAGCUGGUCUGAGAGGAUGACCAGCCACACUGGAACGGAGACCCGGUCCCGACUCCUACGGGAGGCAGCAGUGGGGAAUAUUGCACAAUGGGUGCAAGCCUGAUGCAGCCAUGCCGCGUGUAUGAAGAAGGCCUUCGGGUUGUAAAGUACUUUCAGCGGGGAGGCGGUACCCGCAGAAUAAGCACCGGCUAACUCCGUGCUAGCAGCCGCUGUAAUUC
rnacentral:rRNA from 1 species